rnacentral:rRNA from 1 species
CUGGCGGCGUGCUUAACACAUGCAAGUCGAACGCUGAAGCACCAGCUUGCUGGUGUGGAUGAGUGGCGAACGGGUGAGUAAUACGUGAGUAACCUGCCCUUGACUCUGGGAUAAGCCCGGGAAACUGGGUCUAAUACUGGAUGCUACAUGUCACCGCAUGGUGGUGUGUGGAAAGGGUUUACUGGUCUUGGAUGGGCUCACGGCCUAUCAGCUUGUUGGUGAGGUAAUGGCUCACCAAGGCGACGACGGGUAGCCGGCCUGAGAGGGUGACCGGCCACACUGGGACUGAGACACGGCCCAGACUCCUACGGGAGGCAGCAGUGGGGAAUAUUGCACAAUGGGCGAAAGCCUGAUGCAGCGACGCCGCGUGAGGGAUGACGGCCUUCGGGUUGUAAACCUCUUUCAGCAGGGAAGAAGCCACAAGUGACGGUACCUGCAGAAGAAGCGCCGGCUAACUACGUGCCAGCAGCCGCGGUAAUACGUAGGGCGCAAGCGUUGUCCGGAAUUAUUGGGCGUAAAGAGCUCGUAGGCGGUUUGUCGCGUCUGCUGUGAAAGCCCGGGGCUUAACCCCGGGUGUGCAGUGGGUACGGGCAGACUAGAGUGCAGUAGGGGAGACUGGAAUUCCUGGUGUAGCGGUGGAAUGCGCAGAUAUCAGGAGGAACACCGAUGGCGAAGGCAGGUCUCUGGGCUGUUACUGACGCUGAGGAGCGAAAGCAUGGGGAGCGAACAGGAUUAGAUACCCUGGUAGUCCAUGCCGUAAACGUUGGGCACUAGGUGUGGGGGACAUUCCACGUUUUCCGCGCCGUAGCUAACGCAUUAAGUGCCCCGCCUGGGGAGUACGGCCGCAAGGCUAAAACUCAAAGGAAUUGACGGGGGCCCGCACAAGCGGCGGAGCAUGCGGAUUAAUUCGAUGCAACGCGAAGAACCUUACCAAGGCUUGACAUAUACCGGAUCGUUCCAGAGAUGGUUC